rnacentral:rRNA from 1 species
CCUACGGGAGGCAGCAGUGGGGAAUAUUGGACAAUGGGCGCAAGCCUGAUCCAGCCAUGCCGCGUGAGUGAUGAAGGCCUUAGGGUUGUAAAGCUCUUUUGCCAGGGAAGAUAAUGACUGUACCUGGAGAAUAAGCCCCGGCUAACUUCGUGCCAGCAGCCGCGGUAAUACGAAGGGGGCUAGCGUUGUUCGGAAUCACUGGGCGUAAAGCGCACGUAGGCGGACUUUUAAGUCAGGGGUGAAAGCCUGAGGCUCAACCUCAGAACUGCCCUUGAUACUGGGAGUCUUGAGUAUGGUAGAGGUUGGUGGAACAGCAAGUGUAGAGGUGAAAUUCGUAGAUAUUUGCUAGAACACCAGUGGCGAAGGCGGCCAACUGGACCAUAACUGACGCUGAGGUGCGAAAGCGUGGGGAGCAAACAGGAUUAGAUACCCUGGUAGUCCACGCCGUAAACGAUGGAUGNUAGCGUACGCACGCUGUCGUGGUAGGUGGCGCGACGUAACCGUUAACGUACACUCCGUCCGUCGGGUAGGUACGGUCGCGAGAAGUUAAACGUUAAAGGUAAGUUAGUACGGUUCGUUGUAGACGUUGCCGACGGCGACGACGAGGGAGGAGG